UGUUUCCGAUACAGCUCUAUGAAGAAACGGAACAUAAAACGAGAGUGAUUACAUUCAGUACAUAUGGCUAGGUACAUUCAUGCUUGAAGAAAUGUGGGAGAAACAUUGUGUAGAUAUGUUUAACAGUGGACAAUUCUGAACAACCUCUAACCCGUAAUACACAAUCGUGUAGGAUACCCACCCAAGCAAUCAUAGGUGAAUGUUUUGGCGGAGUUAAGUGCGGAGUGACGAUUCGUGUGAACUUAUUGCGAGACUAGUAAAUUGGACAUGAUUAGGAAAUUAUUAUUCUAAGAAGAGAGUGAAAAUAUAAAAAUUACCAGAUUUAUAGCACAGAAAUACUGAAAUGAGUGAUGCUACAGCUGGAGCAAGAUGGAAGGAAUUCGGCCUACAUGGUUUCUGUCUACUGAGCAUGAUGUGGGAGUCCAUUCCCGAUUGUAUUGGAGAGGCCAUGCAUCUACAUCAUGAAAACUUUGAGGAGUCUUCUUAAGACAACUCCAUUUGUGGGCCUUUGCUGUCGUCUUUGAUUUGGUACGUGAAAUGUGCAGUGGACUGCAUUCUUCAGGGUUGCAGCGGUGAGAACGUUAGGUGAAACAUUAAGGCUGCUUGAGAAUCCAAGCUGUAAUGUAUCACCUGACAUUUGUGCACGUAAUUGGAACACAAUAAAGGCUGAAGUUGACAAAUCCCAUCCAUGUAGGUAAAUGUGUUUGAAUUUUAUUUUUCUUGUGGGGGUGUGCCACUUGUUGAGGGGUUUGAUGUCUAGGAAGGUGUGACCAUCAAACCAAUUCUAGCCCACAAUAUUUUGGGUGGGCUCUAGGUACAGGUGGCCAUGUUUGAAGGAUGAGAAGCUGUGCCAUCUGCAGGGAUUCUCUGGUACUAAAAAUGGUUGCUGUGCUAGUAAAAAUUUUGGUUCUGCCACCUGCAGGAAAUUUCUGGUACUAAAAAUUGUUGGCAUGCUAGUAAAAUUUUAGUCUGAAAUUUCUGCCAUGUGGUGAGCUCUCCAGGCAUUAUAAAAAUUAUGAGCAUAGUAGCAAUUUUUGGGAGGUCAGAAGGAACAAAAAAUGGUUGGGAGAUAGCCAAAAAAAUUUUUUUGUCUGCCAUCCUACCUUUCUCAUACUUCUCUUCUGUGGCUUCCAGAUGGCUCUGUUAUCUUUCUCAACCUUGAAGUCUUUUCUUGGCUGUGGGACUUGAACUGCUGACUCUUUAUCCUCAAAUUGGUUGUCCAGUGUCUUAUCCACUAGACCACAAAGCUCUCAUGUUAGAAACAAUUUCAGAUCUUCCUGAUAUGUUUGUCUUUUGAGUAAACUGUUUAAAAAUAUUAUCUUUAAUUUUCAGCUUUUAGAUGGAUUUGAACCAGUGAAGACAGUGAUACUGAACCAUGAUUGUCCAGUGGCUUACCCACCAGACCACGAGGUUCUGGUAUGAAAAGUAAUUUCAGAUGUUCCUGAUAUGUUUGACCUUUGAGAAAACUGUUUUAAAGUAUUAUCUUUAAUGUUUACUUUUCAGAUUGGCUGGAACUGGUGGAUGCUGCAUUACUGAACCCCAGUCUUGUCCUCUAGACCACCAGUGUUCUUACAUUAGAGGCUCUGAUGAAUUGUGGCAUUGAGAAUUCCACUUGUGAGAUGAGCUACACCCACCAUUGCACAAAGUGCUUCUCUUCUCACAGUAGAACACAACAUUGGUGGAAAUCACAUGGCUCCAUCAGAAGCACCACAACCAUUAGGAUAGACUAAUUCAGGGGUUGUACUGGAGUUAAGUCCAUAGUGAAUGUACAUCCAGUGACUGUUUCAGUACAUUUGCUUGGUAACUGUCUUCACAAACUCGGGACAAGAACUGCAUUAUAUCAACUACAAUUCUUGGCAUGAUGUGAUGCCAUAUACUUAGGUAGACCCUAUCAUCUGAUUGAAGAGUAUGCUAGCAAAGCAGCACUUCUUGCCGUCUGGCAUACCCUUCAACCCCGAAGAUGGACAUUGAGAACACUGGUUUGUGAAGACAGUAACACAGUAAAAUACAUGCAAUGGAAAGCAAGUCACCAGACAUACAAACAUUUUGAAACUACAUGCAGGACUACUGAAACAAAUACUACCAAGGCACUGGUGCUGCUGACAGAAUAAUGCAAUUUUCCAGUAUAUGUUUGCGUUCUACUGUGCAUAUAAGAACUGCAGUAGUAUUGGGUUUCUUGAAAUACUGUGUAAGGAACAUUUAUGCAAGGAACUCAGCAUUGUUAAGGUUGUGAAAUUAACUACAGGCCCAGUGUGGUUUGGUUGGGGGAAGUAAGAAAUGUGUAUGGAUUAU